rnacentral:lncRNA from 1 species
UUCCUCUUCCUUCUUCCUUUUCUUGACCCUUCUUCUGUGGUGGGGAUGGUCUUGUAACAACAAUGGAGGUGUGACAACACAUGAUAAAUAAAUGGGAGCCCUCGCCGUCAUCUAGGGUUGAAGGUGUAUACAUAGAUGACAUCAUGGGUCUUCUACGUGGAUCCUCCACCCACUCCUUCGUCCAAUGGCUCUAGAGGAGCCUAAUCCUCUCCCAAUGCCUCCUUUGUUCGCCAAGGAAGUCAUAGAACAAACCAAGACAAUCAGUGAAGAAUCGCGUUAUGACUAAUUUCAUAGCCCUCAGAGGCUGGC